AUAAUUAGUUAUAUAUUAUUUAUUAGUUACAAUCAAUACAAUAAUUGAACACAAACGUCCCCAACCCCAAGCCAACCAUCACACUAUCACCACGACCACGAUCAUGAUCAUGACCACCACCCUCAAUGUCCCUGCCACGUCCAGCGCCUCCACCUGCACCACCAACAAAAAUCACCCCAAACUUCCAACACCACCACUCCAACAAUAAGAAUCAAAACCAACACCUCACCACCACCACCUGUAGCACCACCAUCACGACCUAUACCACUACCACCGCAACCUACUACCGCACCAGCAAUCGGCAAAAUGGUCUCUCCACCACCAAGGUCCCAAGAGUCCCUACCACUACCACCCUCACUAUUGUGGCCACUGCCAGAUCCACCAUCAUCACCAGCAAUUCUACCUGCACAAUGAACAAAAGCCAUCUCAAACCCCCCACACCACCAAACCCUCCCCAAACCUCCACUACCACCACUACAAGUAGCAUCAAUACCACCAACACCACCACUAAAUCCCAAGCAGAUUCACCACCACUGUAGCACCUCAUCACCACUACGAUGAUAGCAUGAAAACCCACCAAAAGGCUAAUCUAAUCAGAGCUGAGGACGACGCCACUUCUACUGAAAACCACCCCAUGCUGCUGUAUCGUGAUGCCGGAGAUGAGCAGUCGCUCUCAGAUCUUCGAAUAUGGGGAUGACGCUACCUGUCGUUUCGUCUGUGUUCCAAUGGUGGUUAUGUGUUUUAAAAGAAAAAGAAGAGAGAAUGUAGCCCACGUUUGGCCCCAUUUUUUUGAAAUGAAAAUUGGUGAAAUAGUGUUUUCUUGAAAAAUGAGUAAUUGAAAAAUAAGGGAAAUGUUUGAUUUACGUGUAAUAUUACUUUAUGAAAAAUUGU
rnacentral:lncRNA from 1 species